GACGAACGCUGGCGGCGUGCUUAACACAUGCAAGUCGAACGGAAAGGCCCUGCUUUUGUGGGGUGCUCGAGUGGCGAACGGGUGAGUAACACGUGAGUAACCUGCCCUUGAGUUUGGGAUAACUUCAGGAAACUGGGGCUAAUACCGGAUAGGAGCUCCUGCUGCAUGGUGGGGGUUGGAAAGUUUCGGCGGUUGGGGUUGGACUCGCGGCUUAUCAGCUUGUUGGUGGGGUAGUGGCUUACCCUGGCGUUGACGGGUAGCCGGCCUGAGAGGGAGACCGGCCACAGUGGGACUGGGGUACGAGCCAGAGGGCAACUUGAGGCAGGGGUGGAAGAUAGUGCGCAAUGGGCGGAAGCCGUGAGGAAGGACGCCGCGUGGGAGAGGACGGCCGUCAGGGUAGAAAGCGCGUGCGCGUGGGACGAAGCGACAGUGACGGUAACGGAUAAGAAAGCACCGGCUAACUACGUG
rnacentral:rRNA from 1 species